UGUCAGAUCCGGCUGACCGCGACAGUCGUGGAUCCCCCUCCCCUGCCCUGCCUUUCUCCUUCAUCGCCGAGCCGCGAUGGCCAUGGAUCCAGCUCACCGCGACGGACCUCCCCUCCCCCUGGCCGAUCCACCCAUUCCCGAGGUGUGGGCAUUGUUCCCCCGACGCCGACGAGCUCCAUAGCUCACCCCUGCACGCCGUGACGCGUACGCGGGAUCCUGGUGAGGUAGUUCGGGAGAAGGGGCAGGCGCGUCGGUGUAGUCCGUCCGGGUACCACGUGCAGUGCCCCGCACGUCAGUGCAGUCCGCCGGCGUUGCGUGCAGCUCCGCCUCCCGUCCCCUUCAUCUACUCCACCACCUCCUUCUCGCUUCGCUCCGCGAGAUCGAGCGCCCCCUGCCCUCUAUAUUGGCCUCUGCUCGGAUAGGUGCAGGAUCCACGGAAAAAAACGAGGUCGUUGACCACGCCGUCGACUCCUCUACUGCGCGAGCACCACCGGUGAGGCAUCGCCGCUGCCCCCAGCUCCACUCUUCCAUGCUUAGUACUACACGGGCAGGGGACGAGCUCCACUUCGACUCCCUGUUCGUUGUUGACCGCCUCUCCUGCUAGUUCCACCCCUGCAGGGACUACGGAAGAUGCAGUGCGGCUGAUGCACUGUCAAAGUUUAUGAUCUUUUCUGCUUUUUCAGAUUUCACUUUUUGACACCAAAAUGCAGUUCGCCUGGGGCUUCGUUGCGGUGCGCACGGCGUCAUGCCCCUGUUUCAGUUCUGCCGAUGAUGCAUUGUAGUUCAGUUCGAUCCGUUUGGAGACUUGGAGUUCAGCUGCGUAUCAGUCCGUUCUACGGAUUUUUCUACGGUAUCAAUAACUCCCGAACGUGCCAGGUUUUAGCAAACCACUCCGAACGCACUCGUUGUCGUCCAUCGCGGUGCGCGAAUUUUGAAGCUCUGGAGCUUGACAGCCACACCACUCGUUUUUACUCGGCUUGAGAGUGAGGAGGAGGACGAGCGCCGCGCUGCUCGCUGACACGAAGCUCUAGGACGGCGCACUCCAGGUCCCCGCCGACCGGCUCAAGCGGGGCGAGUGGCCGCGGCGGCCGUCGAGGCCGCCUCCGUCUGCGCGCACAUCGACUGCUCGACCUGGCGGCCAUCAUCGAGGCUGGCGCGCUCCGGGUCCGCGCCGACCGACUCAACGGGGCGACGUGGGCGGAGAGCGAGCGUCGCCUGCUUGCCCGCGCCGCCGCGGCGACCGCGGACAUCGAGGCCGCCUCCGUCUGCGCGCACCUAGCCGCCGUCCAUGGCCACUGUUGGGGCUGCUCUAAUCGCUCGGUGCCGCUAUCACCUUCGAUGCGGCUGGGCGUCCUUGCCGCAGCCACAACCAGGGGGCAGUGCACCAUAUGGCUGCAAGAUUGGGAAGGCGUACUACUUGAUGACGGGCGUGGCGGUCCUCCGCAUCAUCUUUUGCUGCAAGGCUGCAGGUAGUCCAUGCUCGUCGUUGUUCGCUAGGUGACGCCGCAGCCUCAAGUCGAGCUGGACCAGCACAUCGGCGAACUGCAAAAGGCAUUUGGAUCCUUUUCCACUGCAGGUGGCAACAUCCUCAACCCCCCGUCUUUUUUUCAUUUUUGUUAGUUUGAUUAUCUGCAAAUUGAUGUUCCAUGACCCAGUAGAGGCACAUCCAAAUUUUGUGUUUAGAUUUCUCACCCCAAAUUGCAUCCCAUGACCCAGUAGACUAGUACAGAUGACAUGCCAUGACCCAGUGCACUAGUAGAUAUGUCAUGGCAAUUUUCGCCCCCAUUCUGUACCAUGGUAUUUUUGUGAUAUGUUGUUUUUGAUCUGGUUCAGAACUGGUAGGGAUAUUCUAGGGCAAUUUCCAAUAUGCAGUGAAUGGCAAAUUUAGAUUCGUUCCACCACAAUUUUCCCAUUUUGUUUUCUUAGGGAGAACCAAAUUUUGCCGCGGCAAAUUCAUACGUUCUGCCAUCACUACAUAGGAGUUAUUUUUUCCAUGCCGCAGUUUUGCCAUCAAGUUUUACAUUUCUGUCAUAGUUUUGACGUGUCAAUCGCAUUAUUUCUUUGAGCAGAUGCAUUUUAUUUUUGAAUUUUUAUAUAGCUAGCUGAGUAAUGUUAUGCCCUAUGAAAUUCGGUGACUUUCGUAACAUGGCAUUUCUGUCACAGCAAUUCCAUUAUUUUUUGUCACAUGGCAUAUUCUAUCAUUUUUCAUUUUCCUAGUCUUUUUGUUCAUAACUUGGCAAAUUCAUUACUGAUCACAUGGCAAAUUCAGUUAUGGUCACAUGGGAAAUAUAUUAGAAAACUAUUUAACAUACAUGGCAAGUUUCUUUUUAUAAAGCAUGGCAAAUUUAGUUCAUCGAUCAUGGCAAAUUGUAGUUAGAGACAAUAAUUCUAAAUUGUUAUAAAAAAGUUGCCAUGGCAAACUAUAAAGAGAAAAUAAUUCUAGGUUAGUUAUCAAGAAAGUUGCCAUGGCAAAAAAUUGUAGAUAGAGACAGUAAUUCUAGGUUGUUACCAAAAAUUUGCCAUGGAAAUUUGUUGAGACGAAAAUAAUUCUAAGUUGUUAUCAGAAAAGUUGCCAUGGCAAAUUAUAGAGAGACACAUAAUUCUAAGUUUUUAUCAAAAAGUUGCCAUGGAAAAUUCGUAGAGUGAUUUUUUUAAGUUGACAUCAAAAGGUUGCCAUGGCAGAUUGUAGAGAGAAAUAAUUCGAAGUUAGUUAUUAGAAAAGUUUCCAUGGCAAUUUUAAGAUGUUAAAAAACAUGGCAACGUUUUAGAUGUUCAAAAACAUUCCAACUUGCCAUGGCAACGUUAUAGAUGUUGAAAAGCAUGGCAAACUUGCCAUGGCAACUUAAGAUGUUUAAAAACAUGACAAACUUGCCAUGGCAACUUAAGAUGUUCAAAAAUAUGGCAAACUUACAGAUGUUCAAAAACAUGUUAAACUUGCCAUGUCAUUUUAAAAUGUUCAAAACCAUUUGUAAACUUGCCACGACAAACUAAAGAUGUGCAAAAACAUGGCAAACUUAUUUUAUUAAGUUCGUACAUCAAUAUGGCAAACUUCUUUAACUAAGAUGUUAAAAAACAAGGCAAACUUGCCAUGGCAACUUAAGAUCUUCGAAAUCCUGGCAACCUAAUAUGCUGAAAAACAUGGCAAACUUGCCAUGGCAACUAAAAUCACUAUUUGUUUAUAGUUGUGUUUUUUCCCACGACAACUUAAAUAGCCAUGGGUAAACUAACUUUUAAAUCCCAUGGCAAUUUUAAAUUAACUUGUAUAGCCAUGGGCAAUUAACUUUCAAAGCCCAUGGCAAAUUCACCAUUUUAUUGACAAGGCAAAUAUACUUUUAUUACAGCCAUGGCAUUGUCUCAAUUUUUUUAUUACCAUGGCAAGUUUUUGUUUCUUAUUUUUGGCAUGGCAACUUUUAUACUUUAUUGCCAUGGCAUUAUUACUUAUGCAUGCAUGGCAAUUUUUACUUAUCAUUCAUGACAAAUUUUUACUUCUCAUUCUCCAUGGCAAAUAUACCUUAAUUUUUUGCCAUGGCAAUUUUCAGUUAGUGGAAAAGAAUGCAUAAUUUUUCCAUGUUUUUUGUGCACCGAAUAUGCAUAAAUUUGCCAUCUCCUGGAAUACAUAAAUUUGGCCAUGUGACAAGUCUGAAAAUUUCAUAGUUUUGCCAUGUGGCCAGGCAUGGAACUUGCCAUGCUAUGAACAAAUUCCAUAAACUUGCUUUUUUGUGACUAGUACUCCAAAAAAUACAUUCUACAUUUUCCAUUAUUCAUAUUGUAGCAUGGCAUUUUCUAGUUUAUUGGCACGGCAAUUUUUACUUUUCUUUUUUGUCAUGAGAAUUAUUUUUUGCCAUUGUUUUUUGUUUGAAUUUUUUGCCAUGGCAACUAUCCCAUGCUUUUGUUAGGAAUCAAAUAUGUUGUAAACCUUGCUAUUUGUAAAAUUAUAUCAUGGCAAAUCAUAAAAUAGUUUGGUCAAACUCGAAUGGCACUUUUUUUGAAAUUCUCCCUGGCAUUUUUCUGCUUCUAAAGUUGAUGACAUUUUUUCUAGUAUAGCAAAAACUAGUCUUUUUAUUUGUCACAGAAAAAGUAAACAGAAUCUGGGCUUCUUCUUUUGUUGUGCUAUUGGGCUUUAUUAAUCGUUUUACAUGAAAAAGGCCUGGGCCUGGGGAGGGCGUUCGUGAUUUCGAUGCUCUCCUCCCGAACGAAAGCGUUCGUGAGGGGGGAGCCCUCGUACCGAACCGUUCGUUCGGUCUGGGAGGUCCCCAGACCGAACAUUCGGGAGAUAUUGGCGUCCUUUUUUUAAUCUACAGAAAGAUGAAAGUGAUGCACUUAGUCGUGCAGCUCGGAGAGGCGUACCAUGCGGUUCAGUGCUCGUGUGCUUGCGGUUAUGUGCUCAUGUGCUUGAGCGCUCGUGCAUAACAUGGCUUAAUUGCAAAUAAUCGUGUAUGUAUCAUGUUUAGAGGGUUGUUUUUGCUAUUUCAGGGGCCUAGUCCUAAAUUAUACUAGAUCAUUGAAGGCGCGCGUUGCUGCGCCCGUCUAUUUUUAUAAUUGGUAGAAAUUUAUAAAGUGAAAAUGAAAUUUUGAUAAAAAAAUCUUUAAAGUAUUGCAGAUUGCCAUGCCCGUCCAUUUUUACAAUGGAAUGAUGGAUUUUUUCUUCUAAAUAAGCUGAUACAGGGAACAUAAAACCUCAAUUUGCAUAAAUUUACUGAUAUAUAUUGACAGUGAUGAAAGUGAAUAAUCAAUGGUUUUACAAAAAAAAAUUGUAUUGGUAUUUCAAUAGAAAAAAAGGAGACAUGCAUGAUGCACUCAGGUAAACAAUAUUCUUUAUUUUUCCUAUCACAUCAUUAGUGAAUGUCCAAAUCUUAGAUAGUAGCAUAAUGAUGUCAACCACUAUAAAUAGUACACAAGAUCAAGAAUAGCAACAAAGCUCGGCAUGAAUUGUAUGAUUCCUCUGCAGCAAACAAUUCUUCAACCAGUAGCACACCAUUGUAUAACCAGCACUGUUGCCAGCCUUAUCAAAAGAGCAGAAGGGUACAUGAAUAAAUUAACCCAUAUUUAAGUGCCUUUUUGCUAGUUGCCAUCCUUGAUCCAUCUUUGGUUUCUCCAACACCCUCUUUCUCUAAUCAUCACUCGUCUUGUACCUCUUGUCAUCCGAUUGUUUCUGCUUCUUUACCUGAAAGUGAGAAUUGAUGCAGCCUGAUCAAUGUCAACAGUGUACAACAACGGUGACAAUUACAGAGUUGCGAAGCUCACCCGACAAAAAGCACUCAUGGAAGGUUACUUGACUUUGCCUUUCAUCUACUGAAAGGAAACAAGCAAGGUGUGAUCAUUAAAGGUGCGAAUUUUGGCGUAUUAAUAAGAGUUGCUUUUGGCCAAUUGGCAAUUGUGUUGCUAAGCCUAAGAUGUUGGGAGCAGCAAUGAAGAUGACUUCUUGUAAAUAAAACAGUAAGAGUGACAGCUUCAUCU